GGCGGUGGGGUCCCUCCCAGCGGGCCGUCUGCAGUGCCCUCGAUGCGGGCGGGGACCUUGCGGAGCAGAGUGAAGGCUGGGCAGGGCCCCGGGCCCUGGGCUGGGUAGAAGGCCACCUGGCUCGCCCGCCCACACGGGUGGGUGAGGCAGCCGCGACGAUGGACGCCUUGGAAGAAGAGAGCUUCGCGCUGUCCUUUUCCUCCACCUCUGAUGCCGAAUUUGAUGCUGUGGUUGGAUAUUUAGAAGACAUCAUCAUGGAUGACGAGUUCCAGUUGUUACAGAGAAAUUUCAUGGACAAGUAUUACCAGGAAUUUGAAGACACAGAAGAGAAUAAACUCACCUACACACCUAUUUUUAAUGAAUAUAUUUUUCUGGUAGAAAAGUACAUUGAAGAACAGCUGCUAGAGCGGAUCCCUGGAUUUAACAUGGCAGCUUUCACAACGACGUUCCAGCACCAUAAAGAUGAAGUGGCUGGUGACAUAUUUGACAUGCUGCUCACAUUUACAGAUUUUCUGGCUUUUAAAGAAAUGUUCCUGGACUAUAGAGCAGAAAAAGAAGGCCGGGGCCUGGACUUAAGCAGUGGUUUAGUGGUGACUUCAUUGUGCAAAUCAUCUUGUGCCAACUUCCCAGAACAAUCUGCGGCAUUAGGUCCUACAUCCCCCC